GACAGAGGUGCCAAGCGUUAGGCGGAAUCACUGGGCUUAAAGCGUGUGUAGGCGGGCGAUCAAGUACCUUGUGAAAUCCCACGGCUCAACCGUGGAACUGCUGGGUAUACUGGUUGUCUUGAGCCAGCUAGGGGCGAGCGGAACAAGCGGUGGAGCGGUGAAAUGCGUAGAUAUCGCUUGGAACGCCGAAGGUGAAAACAGGCUGCUGGGGUUGUGCCGACGCUGAGACACGAAAGCCAGGGGAGCAAACGGG
rnacentral:rRNA from 1 species